rnacentral:lncRNA from 1 species
UUGUUAUUUUUUUUCAAUCUUGUUUGUGAGAGAUAGAGGAAUAAAUAGAGAUAAGUAGUUGUGGUAGUGGUGGUUUUGGAGAAGAAUAUGAAGAUUUAAGAUGAUGUUGGAUGAAGAUAUAUGUGGUCAAUGCAUGCAAGAUGGAGGUUCCAAAAGCUUCUUGAGUGAUCACCAAGAUACAAUUGUCACAUGAGCAUUGGACUUAUUGCAUCACAAUGACAUAAGGCACUAAGUGCAAAGAUAAUGACACACUUGUCAUAUCACUAUUAGCCCACACAUGAUAGACCCACACAUGCUUAUAGAUGUCAAGAGAUGGUUGACCAUGAUGGAUUAGGGUUCUUAAAGAAGUUAGGGUUUCCAAUGACAUCAUGCAUGAUGUCAUCCAAUUAGGGUUGCAACUUCUAUCUUUUAUAGUAAGUAAAGAAG